GCGAACAAUACAGUCAAGAUGGCUAAAGGUGACCCCAAGAUACCAAAGGGCAAGAUGUCUGCCUAUGCCUUCUUUGUGCAGACAUGCAGAGAAGAACAUAAGAAGAAAAACCCAGAGGCCCCUGUAAAUUUUGCAGAAUUUUCCAAGAAGUGCUCUGAAAGGUGGAAGGCAAUGUCUGGGAAAGAGAAGUCUAAAUUUGAUGAAAUGGCAAAGGCUGAUAGAAGUCCGCUAUGAUAGGGAAAUGAAGGGUUAUGGACCGGCUAAAGGAGGAAAGAAGAAGGACCCGAAUGCCCCCAAGAGGCCAUCGUCUGGAUUUUUCCUCUUCUGUUCAGAAUUCCGCCCCAAGAUCAAGUCUACAAAUCCUGGUAUCUCUAUUGGAGAUGUGGCAAAAAAGCUAGGUGAGAUGUGGAAUAACUUAAGUGACAGUGAAAAGCAGCCUUACAUCACUAAGGCAGCCAAGCUGAAGGAGAAGGAUGAGAAGGAUGUCGCUGACUACAAGUCUAAAGGAAAGUUUGAUGGUGCAAAGGGUCCCACUAAAGUUGCCAGGAAAAAGGUGGAAGAGGAAGAUGAAGAAGAUGAAGAGGAGGAGGAGGAAGAGGAUGAAUAAAAAACUGUUUAUCUGUCUCCUUGUGAAUACCUUAGAGUAGGGGAGCGCCGUAAAUGACACAUCUCUUAAUUGAAAAAUGUCUAUUGCCCUCAUUAGGUUUAAUCACAAAAUUUGAUCAUGAUCAUAUUAUAGUCUCAAAGUGCUCUAGAAAUUGUCAGUGGUUUACAUGAAGUGACCAUAGGUGUCUGGAGCACCCUGAAACUGUAUCAAAGUUGUACAUAUUUCCAAACAUUUUUAAAAUGAAAAGGCACUCUUGUGUUCUCCUCACUCUGUGCACUUUGCUGUUGGUGUGACAAGGCAUUUAAAGAUGUUUCUGGCAUUUUUUUUUAAUUUGUAAGGUGUUAACUGUAUGGUUAUUGGCUAGAAAUCCUGAGUUAUCAACUGUACAUAUCUAUAGUUUGUA